CCUACGGGUGGCAGCAGUGAGGAAUAUUGGUCAAUGGACGAGAGUCUGAACCAGCCAAGUAGCGUGAAGGAUGACUGCCCUAUGGGUUGUAAACUUCUUUUAUCUGGGAAUAAAACGUUCCACGUGUGGGAUUUUGUAUGUACCAUAUGAAUAAGGAUCGGCUAACUCCGUGCCAGCAGCCGCGGUACUCCGGAGGAUCCGGGCGUUAUCCGGAUUUAUUGGGUUUAAAGGGAGCGUAGGUGGAUUGUUAAGUCAGUUGUGAAAGUUUGCGGCUCAACCGUAAAAUUGCAGUUGAAACUGGCAGUCUUGAGUACAGUAGAGGUGGGCGGAAUUCGUGGUGUAGCGGUGAAAUGCUUAGAUAUCACGAAGAACUCCGAUUGCGAAGGCAGUUCACUGGACUGCAACUGACACUGAGGCUCGAAAGUGUGGGUAUCAAACAGGAUUAGAUACCCUUGUAGUC
rnacentral:rRNA from 1 species